UUGUGAAGUGUGAACAGCUGACACAACCAGCCUCUGUGACUGUGCAGCCAGGUCAACGUCUGACCAUCACCUGUCAGGUCUCUUAUUCUGUGAGCAGCUACUACACAGCUUGGAUCAGACAGCCUGCAGGGAAAGGACUGGAGUGGAUUGGAGUUGCUCAAGUUGGACAAACCACAUACUACAAAGAUUCACUAAAGAACAAGUUCAGUAUCGACUUAGAUUCUUCCAGCAACACAAUGACUCUACAUGGACAGAAAGUGCAGCCUGAAGACUCUGCUGUGUAUUACUGUGCCAGAUACCCACAGUAA